rnacentral:rRNA from 1 species
UGGGGAAUCUUAGACAAUGGGGGAAACCCUGAUCUAGCCAUGCCGCGUGAGCGAUGAAGGCCUUAGGGUUGUAAAGCUCUUUCAGCUGGGAAGAUAAUGACGGUACCAGCAGAAGAAGCCCCGGCUAACUCCGUGCCAGCAGCCGCGGUAAUACGGAGGGGGCUAGCGUUGUUCGGAAUUACUGGGCGUAAAGCGCACGUAGGCGGAUUUAGUCAGUCAGAGGUGAAAUCCCAGGGCUCAACCCUGGAACUGCCUUUGAUACUGCUAGUCUUGAGGUCGAGAGAGGUGAGUGGAAUUCCGAGUGUAGAGGUGAAAUUCGUAGAUAUUCGGAGGAACACCAGUGGCGAAGGCGGCUCACUGGCUCGAUACUGACGCUGAGGUGCGAAAGCGUGGGGAACAAACAGGAUUAGAUACCCUGGUAGUCCACGCCGUAAACGAUGAAUGCCAGUCGUCGGGUUGCAAUGCAAUUCGGUGACACACCUAACGGAUUAAGCAUUCCGCCUGGGGAGUACGGUCGCAAGAUUAAAACUCAAAUGAAUUGACGGGGGUCAUAGCUGUUUCCUG